rnacentral:sRNA from 1 species
GCACAGCCUGGACGCGUGCGCAGGCGUCAGGCGCAUAGACCUGCUAGCCCCUCAGCUAGCGGCCCCGCCCGCGCUUAGCAUCACUAACUGGGCUAUAUAACCUGAGCGCCCGCGCGGCCAGGACACGAGGAAUUCGCCCACGCAGGAGGCACGGCGUCCGGAGGCCCCAGGGUUAUGAGACUAUCACUGCUCAGGACCUACUAACAACAAAGAAAAUGUUUACCAAAUGCUGCUGCCUCAAUACCAGAGUCUGUAUUGUCAGUUGAUCUUUCAAGUAAAAAGUGGUGUUCUAUGAAAAACAGCUAGUUCAGCUGCAACUUAAAUGAUAUAAGUGUGGAGCAAACCACCACUUCCAUUUGUAGCAGAAAUGCUGUGAUUCUAAGUAUGACUUGCUAUGUAAAGAAGAAUUUAUUGAACUCAAAGACAUAUUCUCUGUGAAACUGAAACGGCGUUGUUCUGUUAAACAGCAGAGAAGUGGUACUUUAUUAGGUAUCACACUCUUCAUCUGCUUGAAAAAGGAACAAAAUAAACUAAAGAAUUCUACACUUGAUCUUAUUAAUUUAAGUGAAGACCACUGUGACAUAUGGUU